UCCCUCAGAACGGAGAACCCAGGCUUUACAAGUCUCAUCUCGCGAGAAAAGGGCGUCACGUACACGCAAGGCAUAAGCGUCCUGACGCGGCACGUAUCCGCCUUGGGGGAGUGGCUAAGUAACGUCACACAUGGAUGAGGAACGAAUUUCCAGAAUUGGAGCGGAAACGAGGGAUAAUUUAGUAGAAUCUGAGCAAAUUUAUUCUACAGUCGGACUGAACCAUUGGGAUCUAGGGGUGCCACGUUUUCUGGAAAAACCCCGGCCUUCCUAUAUGUUUAACUUAUUCCCCUAUUAUUAACAUUGGGAUCAACCAUCAUUUUUACCAGUCCUGUGACAACCCUAUUGGGGGCCCUCCUGCUUCCAAACGUAUCCCCCCCUGAACUCCAGUGCGCCGGUCUGCGUAUUAUAUUAUUGGGCGGGGCAGCGGAUCGAGGAGUGGGCCAUUCCGAUGCUGUUCAUCGAUAUUUAUAUAUUGGCGGUCGAGGGCCUGCGGUUUUGCUUUGGGGGCGGGGAAUAUAUUUGAUAAAAUGGUUUUAAAGUAAAAAUGUAAAGUAUCUGAACACAUCAGAUUUAAUGGUGAAAUUCGGCUCCAGAGCAGGUGGGGGGAGGGGCCCAGUGGUGCAAGUGGCAGGGGUCGGACGGGUGAGUACAGGACCUGAGGGUAGAGACACACGGGGAGAUUAGUGACCCAGCGACAAAUAACCUCAUCAUCGGGCGACUAAUCUCCCCGCCGGCUACGAUCUAAAUCACCAGUGGGACGACACUCUUUGUUUUCUGAACUUGCCUCACGAGGAAACUGGGCGACUUCGGAAAACAAGUCUCUCCGAGUGGCAACUAUUUAGUUAGUAGCCGGCAGGGAGGCAGUUCGGGAAGUUUUUCCGCUAAAUCUCCCCGGAUCUUCUCAUCUGUCUCUGCCCUAAUGGAGCUGCCGUCCCGCACCCACCAAGGAGCCCCCCUACAGCACAUCCGGAGGAGGGAGAUCAGCGGCCUUGGGAGCACCGGCGGGGAUUGAGGCCACCAGGACCCACAGCACCACUGGGUUUAACCUGGUGUCUCACUGGCCCAUUCUGACCCUGGCAAGCGCUGGAACAAAAUAUGUCCCUGAUGAGGAUCCCAAUUAAUUAUAAAAACGAGAUUUGUUACAAUUUAAGAACAGAACAAGGACACAUUUAAGUAAAAAGCAGUGGGUGAAAUUGACAGAAAAUGGACUCUACGGUUCAGGUGUCCAGGAUCCCCAUCAGCUCAGCAGAAGAAAGCUCCAGUGUCCCAAAACAGUAUUCGUGAAGGCUGGUUCUACCAGGGGUUUCCCCCCUGUCUUAAGGUGGCCAUACACGAGCCAUGUGGGGCCCUCCAACGGGCUUCCCUGUAUUGGCCAGAUGUCGAUCGGGCAGGGCUAAAAAUCCCGUCAGAUCGCGUCAUUGAUGUGGUCCCACGAUCCGACCCCUGUAUUGCCUGCAUUAUGAUCGAAUCAUUGGUCCCUAGGGCCUACGAUUGGAUCAGCCCAAUAUCAGGGAGAGAUCCCUUCAUGUAUGGCCACCAAACGAUCUCUACGUGUAUGGCCACCUUUACAGUGAGCUAAGUGUAUUGGGCCAGGUGUUGAUUGGGGAGGUUUAAAAAUCCUGUCUGAUCGUGGACCUCAUUAGUUUGUUGAUGCGGUCCUCCAACCGACCGCCUCCGAUCGUUGGGUCCUAGGGCUCACAAUUAUAUCAUCCUGAUAUAGCCCACCUCAAGGUUGGCAUAUUGAGUAAAGAUAUGCUCAUUUGGCAACCUCACCAAAUAAGCAGACCUGUGUAUGUAUGGCCAGCUUUAGAUUACAGCAGUGGCCACAUACAGUUACCCAUAAACAGACCCAAAAUUUAGGGACAAAAAGGGCUAAUUUAGCAGAAUAUAAUGGGCAAAUAUACCUAUAGUAAUAUUUAGUUUUUAGCCUUUUUCAUAAUGUCAUCACAGGAUGCAAAUGUUUUCUUUUUUGCAAACAAGGGUUUUAAUUUUUCACAGUUCAGGGACAGAACAAGGGCCAAUUUAUAGUGA